CUUCUCUAGGUCAAGGUAUUUCAACUGUCAUAGAAAAAGCAGAAACAACCCUUGGGAUCCCCAGUCCUAGUGAAAUCUCUUCAGAGUCUGGAGAUACUACAAGAGGAAGUGAGAAUCCUGGUGCAGCUGAUGAUGGCAGCUCCUUUCCUAUUGCUGGGGCUCUUGAAGUUUUAUCAACCAUCUCUACUGCUGUCCAAAGCACAG